UCAGGACGAACGCUGGCGGCAUGCCUAACACAUGCAAGUCGAACGGACAUAAGGAAGACAUAGCGAUAUGUAAGAAUUAUGUUAGUGGCGAACGGGUGAGUAACACGUGAGCAACCUGCCCCAUACAACGGGAUAACACUUAGAAAUAGGUGCUAAUACGGUAUAAGACCACACUACGGAAUCGUAGAGAGGUAAAAGCGAAUUUAGCGGUAUGGGAUGGGCUCGCGUCCAAUUAGCUAGUUGGUGAGGUAACGGCCCACCAAGGCGACGAUUGGUAGCCGACCUGAGAGGGUGAUCGGCCACACUGGAACUGAGACACGGUCCAGACUCCUACGGGAGGCAGCAGUGGGGAAUAUUGGGCAAUGGAGGAAACUCUUACCCAGCAAUGCCGCGUGAAGGAUGAAGGUUUUCGGAUUGUAAACUUCUUUGAUCGGGGACGAAAUUGACGGUACCCGAGGAACAAGCCACGGCUAACUACGUGCCAGCAGCCGCGGUAAUACGUAGGUGGCAAGCGUUGUCCGGAAUUACUGGGUGUAAAGGGCGUGUAGGCGGGAAGGCAAGUCAGAUGUGAAAGCCCAUGGCUUAACUGUGGAAUUGCAUCUGAAACUGUUUUUCUUGAGUGCUGGAGAGGAAAGUGGAAUUCCUAGUGUAGCGGUGAAAUGCGUAGAGAUUAGGAGGAACACCNNNNGCGAAGGCGGCUUUCUGGACAGNNNNNGACGCUGAGGCGCGAAAGCGUGGGGAGNNNNNAGGAUUAGAUACCCUGGUAGUCCANNCNNUAAACGAUGGAUACUAGGUGUGGGAGGUAUCGACCCCUUCNNNGNCCNGAGUUAACACAAUAAGUAUCCCACCUGGGGAGUACGGCCGCAAGGCUGAAANNCAAAGGAAUUGACGGGGGCCCGCACAAGCAGUGGAGUAUGUGGUUUAAUUCGAAGCAACGCGAAGAACCUUACCAGGGCUUGACAUACCGAUGACCGGGUUAGAGAUAACCCUUCCCUUCGGGGCAUCGGAUACAGGUGGUGCAUGGUUGUCGUCAGCUCGUGUCGUGAGAUGUUGGGUUAAGUCCCGCAACGAGCGCAACCCCUGUUGUUAGUUGCCAUCAUUAAGUUGGGCACUCUAACAAGACUGCCGGUGACAAAUCGGAGGAAGGUGGGGAUGACGUCAAAUCAUCAUGCCCCUUAUGUCCUGGGCUACACACGUACUACAAUGGCGAUUACAGAGGGCAGCGAAACCGCGAGGUGGAGCAAAUCCCUAAAGGUCGCCCCAGUUCAGAUUGCAGGCUGAAACUCGCCUGCAUGAAGUAGGAAUUGCUAGUAAUGGCAGGUCAGCAUACUGCCGUGAAUACGUUCCCGGGCCUUGUACACACCGCCCGUCACACCAUGAGAGUUGACAACACCCGAAGUCAGUAGCUUAACCGCAAGGAGAGCGCUGCCGAAGGUGGGGUUGAUGAUUA
rnacentral:rRNA from 1 species